rnacentral:misc_RNA from 1 species
AAAAAAAAAAAAAAAAGAAGAAAAGAAAAAAAAUAUUGCAAAAUCCUUCAAUCAAAGGGCUUGAAAUGAGAAAAGCCCAAAAAUUUGAAGGAUUUUAUUGAGAGAAUCAAUGAGUGUGGGGGAGGGGAGGGGGUUUCCAACAGGUAAAAAAAAGUUGUAAUAAAGGCAGAUCUAGAGAGAGAAAGACAGAAGAGAUUAUGGAGCUGUGAUUGGUUAUAGAUUUUCUUUGUCUAUCUCUUGUGGGUUCUAUAGAAAGAAAGGAUUGGAAUUGAACAACAAAGCAUGGGUCUUGGAGAUCAAUGAUAAUUGAUAAGAGGGCUCUCUUCUCUCCUCUGUGAUUUCUUUGUGUGCUUAUUGUUGUUGGAUUUUCACUUUGUUUUUAUUUUUUAAUUUUUCUAAAUUAUUUUAUUUUGCCUUUUGGAGGGUUUUUGACAUUCA